rnacentral:rRNA from 1 species
UUCUUUUGUUUAUAUAAAAGAUUUGACCUGCCCUAUGAUUCUAUUUAAUGGCUGCAGUAUUUUGACUGUACAAAGGUAGCAUAAUCAUUUGUCUUUUAAUUGAAGUCUGGAAUGAAUGGUUUGAUGAAAAAUAUACUUUCUUUUUUUUAUAGAAAAAAUUUAAUUUUUUAGUUAAAAAGCUAAAAUUUAAUUAUGGGACGAGAAGACCCUAUAGAACUUUAUUUUUGGGUUUUUAUAUUUGAUAUGGAAAAUAAUGUUAAUAUAGAAAUAUUAAAUUUUGUUGGGGUGACAGAAAAAAUUUAAUAACUUUUUCUCUUUUAAUCAUUAUAAAUGUUUAUUUGAUCCUUUGUUAUGGAUGGAAGAUUAAGUUACCUUAGGGAUAACAGCGUUAUUUUUUCGGAGAGUUCUUAUCGAUGGAAAAGUUUGCGACCUCGAUGUUGGAUUAUAAUAAGAUAUAGGGGUAGAAUAUUAUGUUCUAGGUCUGUUCGACCUUUAAAUUUUUACAU